rnacentral:ncRNA from 1 species
GGGGCGAAACCGAAAAGCCUUAAGAGUAGGAA